CUGACCUAACCCGAUUAGUUUGGUAAAAACUCAAAUCAAGCUCUAAAUUUCUUCUCCCUCUCUCACUCUCACUCCCGCCAUCGAUCGCACUCUCCCCGCCACCGAGACACCGUUCUUACUCUCACUCCCAAUUUCUUCCCCCUCUCUCUCGUCUGUAAUCUGCAAGGCCAUUCUCUCGCUUUGCCACCAGAAUCCCUCUCUCAAACUCUAUCCACCCCAGCUGAAGCAGUGAAGCCCUAAUCCGAUCGCCGACUCUUGCCGAUAAAAUCAAAUCACCCACGCCGAUCGCGAUCGCCUUAUAACUAAUAAGGGAUUUCUUUUUUCGUUGUAAGUAGUCAGGUACGGCAAAUAACUAUCUAAUGCACAAGAUGGUUACGCUCAGUUAAAUAGAGAAAAUUGUUGUAUUUAGGUUGUUCUCAAAUUUGGGUCUAUUACGUCUUGAUAUUUUCCUAUGAAUUAUAAUUUGGUUGAUUCUAUGACUCCAAAUUUACUCUGGCAAUCUUUGAAAGGAUUGAGCUACAUGAAUCUGAAGCGAAAAUUGCAAGCAUUGAUUAUUCCAAUGUUGAUUAUUGCAAGCAUUGAUUAUUGAUAUUCCAUUAAAAUUGAUGAGCAUAGAUGAGUUUUUCUCUUUGUUCGCUUCUUGCCGUCUGAUGAUCAUCUAGUUUUUUGUGGAAUUUUUUCUGGCUGGCAGAUGAGGUUUAGUUUGGGAAAAAAAUCUGAAUACCAAACUAUAUUUGAAUCUUUUGCUAGUUUUCAAGCAUAUAUUUGAUUUACUCUUUAUUUUCUCCCCUUUCUUCUCCUUCUAUUCCUCCUUCUUCAAGUCCCAUUCUUGUUCAUUACGUUCUAUGUUACUUACAUUUCACAUCUUUACGUUCUCAAAUGACAAUAGCUGGAAAAAUGUCUAAAUUUUUUAAAAGCGUGCUUUUAAAACAUAGAUAUCCUCAAUAGAUAUAACUCUAUAUUUAAAAGUUGAAUCACGUCAUGUGUUAUCUCUUUCAAUGAACAAUGAUGUUAUUUCUUUGUAAUAUUUUUGCGCUCUUAGAAAAAUUUAAUCGACAACAAUUUUUUUCCAAUUAAGCCAUGAAAUAAUUCAUUUUAAUGUUUCCAAACACAAAAAGGAACAAAUCAAAAAAAAAAAGCACGCUCAAUUUUUUUUAUAUCCACGUCCCCGUGAGUCAAUAACUGAAAUUUUUAUGAACCUUGAUUAAUUUUUGUAAUUCUAAAGUUGGAGAAGGUUUCUAUGGGUUUUAUGAGGAAGAAAUUAAAGAUGUUGAUACCAUUUUUAUAUGAGCUACGAGCACUUGUUGAAUUUUGAAAAAGAGAUUUAAACUGCCUAAACAUCAUGUUUUUCUUCAACUCAACAAAUUCGUUAGAAGGUUGUGUCAAAAUUUAAAGGGAAUCCCUAAUGUUCAUAUUAAAGAGUCCAUCCUGUGCACUCUGAUGUUAAAUACAAUGGCUUCUGUAAUUUUCAAAUUUCAAAUAGAUGUGCUUGCACUUUGUAUGCGGUUUUCCUUUUUGCUUGUAAUGUUUUUGUUACGGUUAGGUAAAAUGGAAACUAGAAGCUAAUGCUAUUCAUCGUGUAAGGAAGAGGCCAACAGUCAAAUUGUGAAUUCUGUGUAUGAAGAAACAAAUAUGUGAGAUGUUACAACGUAUAUACACUUCCAUCUCUGCAAUCUGAUGGUGUUAUGCUUAGUUGUACAUCUACUAACCUUCAUGAAUAGCAAGUGCAAUAUAGAUUUUACAUUUCCCUAUAUAUAUCCAUCACCCAUUGGACUAAGUUGAAUAAAUGAUUUCAUUUAAAUAUGUAAAUUGUUCUUCUUGGAAAUUCAGUUUCUUAGCCAUACCCUCGUCCCCUCCCCUCCCCUCCCCCUAUAGUUAUAAUCUAUUUUUUUCCAUAUCAAAGUCAAUUCAUUAACAAUUUAUGCUUCUGGCAUUAAGUUUUUGCCACUAGAAAGACAGUUAACUGCUCUGAGUCACAGGGUUCUGUAAAAGUUGAAAUUUCUUAUUUUAGCUACUGCAUUCUUUGUUCUCGACAUCCUGCACAUCCUAACGUCAAUGGAGUCUAUGGAAAUUGCCAGCUUGCAAUGAACAAGGUAAUGGAAUUUUCUUAUCGAACAACUGGAUUUUGCUGCUGAUGAAUUAAUUGCCCUAUUUUAUAAUGAAUCCUAUUUUGAUCGAGAACUUUAAUAUCAUAUUAACAUUGCUUAAUGCAUCUAAUUUGCCUUUCUUGUCAAUAAGUGGACAAAUCAUUUGAGACUUGCAUAAAUUUAAGUACACUAAAUGAACUGAAAAUUAACCCACAUAAUAGCAAGAUAAAUAAACAAAAAUAUAAAAGUUGCAUACUAGUGAAUUUGAGGGCAAUUACUCCAACAACGAAAAGCAAAAGCUGAACUGUGGCAAUUCCAUCUUUAAUUUAUCUACUUCAUCUUUAUUUGUUUGGAUAAAUUUCUUGUUAAGCUUUUAAGAUUUUCCAAGUUAUAAUAAAAAUAUUCAUUAGGUUAGUUUAUGGUUGUUAUGUACAUUUUCAUUUUUAGUAACACGGUAGUUUCUAUAAUCACAGCGUACCCUUUAACCUUUCUUGAUAGGUCUUUAACAAAUUGACCUUUUAAGCUAAGUGUUUGUUUGGGAGAAAAUUUUCCAAGUAAAAUUUUAUUUUUUGGAGUGUGUGGUUAGAAAGUGAAGAAAGGUUGUGAAUCCCUAAAUGGCUUUGUUGAAAGUGAUUGUGGGGAAAAAUCUUUCCCAAACAAACCAUAAAGAAGACCUUCCAAAAAAAGAAAAAAAUAAAUUACAAUUGGCCUAUUAUAUUUAGCUUUUUCUUCCAUUAUGCUUCACUAUGAUUAUUUAGUUGAUAAUGUAAUAUGUUUCCUAAAGGCUUGUGUACGUGCACACACUAUUGAUCUAUUAAGGCUUGUUUGGCAACACUUUCCAAAAGUAAAAAGUUGCUCCUGUUUGGAUAAUAUUUUGAAAUGUUUUGUGUGGCUGAAUGAGCUUUUGGAGGAAUCUAAUUUAAGAUAGUUUCUUCGAAACGCUCUUCUACAAUAAAAGUUGUUUCAAACAAGCAUUUAAUCCUAUUUUUGGUUAAAAAUUUAUCAU
rnacentral:lncRNA from 1 species